UGCAGUCGAACGGCAGCGCGGGAGCAAUCCUGGCGGCGAGUGGCGAACGGGUGAGUAAUACAUCGGAACGUGCCCAAUCGUGGGGGAUAACGCAGCGAAAGCUGUGCUAAUACCGCAUACGAUCUACGGAUGAAAGCAGGGGAUCGCAAGACCUUGCGCGAAUGGAGCGGCCGAUGGCAGAUUAGGUAGUUGGUGAGGUAAAGGCUCACCAAGCCUUCGAUCUGUAGCUGGUCUGAGAGGACGACCAGCCACACUGGGACUGAGACACGGCCCAGACUCCUACGGGAGGCAGCAGUGGGGAAUUUUGGACAAUGGGCGAAAGCCUGAUCCAGCCAUGCCGCGUGCAGGAUGAAGGCCUUCGGGUUGUAAACUGCUUUUGUACGGAACGAAACGGUCUUUUCUAAUAAAGAAGGCUAAUGACGGUACCGUAAGAAUAAGCACCGGCUAACUACGUGCCAGCAGCCGCGGUAAUACGUAGGGUGCAAGCGUUAAUCGGAAUUACUGGGCGUAAAGCGUGCGCAGGCGGUUAUGUAAGACAGUUGUGAAAUCCCCGGGCUCAACCUGGGAACUGCAUCUGUGACUGCAUAGCUAGAGUACGGUAGAGGGGGAUGGAAUUCCGCGUGUAGCAGUGAAAUGCGUAGAUAUGCGGAGGAACACCGAUGGCGAAGGCAAUCCCCUGGACCUGUACUGACGCUCAUGCACGAAAGCGUGGGGGGCAAACAGGAUUAGAUACCCUGGUAGUCCACGCCCUAAACGAUGUCAACUGGUUGUUGGGUCUUCACUGACUCAGUAACGAAGCUAACGCGUGAAGUUGA
rnacentral:rRNA from 1 species